rnacentral:rRNA from 1 species
AUUGAACGCUGGCGGCAGGCCUAACACAUGCAAGUCGAACGAGUGGCGGACGGGUGAGUAAUGUCUGGGAAACUGCCUGAGGGAGGGGGAUAAAUACGGGAAAGGGUAGCUAAUACCGCAUACCAUAAGAUGGGCCGAGAUGGGAUUAGCGAGUUGGUGGGGUAACGGCUCACAAAGGCGACGAUCGCUAGCUGGUCUGAGAUGAUGACCAGCCACACUGUAACUGUGACACGGUCCAGACUCCUACGUGAGGCAGCAGUGGGGAAUAUUGCACAAUGGGCGCACGCCUGAUGCAGCCAUGCCGCGUGUAUGAAGAAGGCCUUCGUGUUUUAAAGUACUUUCAGCGGGGAGGCGUUACCCGCAGAAGAAGCACCGGCUAACUCCGUGCCAGCAGCCGCGGUAAUAC